rnacentral:rRNA from 1 species
AGAGUUUGAUCAUGGCUCAGGAUGAACGCUAGCGGGAGGCUUAACACAUGCAAGUCGAGGGGCAGCACGAGGUAGCAAUACUUUGGUGGCGACCGGCGCACGGGUGAGUAACGCGUAUGUAACCUACCUUGUACAGGGGGAUAGCCCGGAGAAAUUCGGAUUAAUACCCCAUAAAGAUAUUUUGGGGCAUCUUAAGAUAUUUAAAGUUUCGACGGUACGGGAUGGGCAUGCGUAACAUUAGCUAGUUGGUAGGGUAACGGCCUACCAAGGCUACGAUGUUUAGGGGUCCUGAGAGGGUGAUCCCCCACACUGGUACUGAGACACGGACCAGACUCCUACGGGAGGCAGCAGUGAGGAAUAUUGGUCAAUGGGCGCAAGCCUGAACCAGCCAUCCCGCGUGCAGGAAGACGGCGCUAUGCGUUGUAAACUGCUUUUCCAGGGGAAGAAAACCCGCUACGAGUAGCGGCUUGCCGGUACCCUGGGAAUAAGCAUCGGCUAACUCCGUGCCAGCAGCCGCGGUAAUACGGAGGAUGCGAGCGUUAUCCGGAUUUAUUGGGUUUAAAGGGUGCGUAGGCGGAUUAAUAAGUCAGUGGUGAAAACCUGCAGCUUAACUGUAGAACUGCCAUUGAUACUGUUAGUCUUGAGUACGGUCAAGGUAGGCGGAAUGUGUAAUGUAGCGGUGAAAUGCUUAGAUAUUACACAGAACACCGAUUGCGAAGGCAGCCUACUGGGCCAUUACUGACGCUGAUGCACGAAAGCGUGGGGAGCGAACAGGAUUAGAUACCCUAGUAGUCC